rnacentral:rRNA from 1 species
AUUGAACGCUAGCGGGAUGCCUUACACAUGCAAGUCGAACGGAGUGGCGAACGGGUGAGUAAUGUAUCGGAACGUGCCCAGUAGCGGGGGCUAACUACGCGAAAGCGUAGCUAAUACCGCAUACUAUUGGAGCGGCCGAUAACGGAUUAGCUUUAUGGGGGGGUAACGGGUAACCAAGGCGGCGAUCCGUAGCUGGUUUGAGAGGACGACCAGUCGCACUGGAGCUGGGACACGGCCCAGACUCCUACGAGAGGCAGCAGGGGGGAAUUGUGGACAAUGGGUGAAACCCUGAUCCAGCCAUCCCGCGUGUGCGAUGACGGCCUUCGGGUUGUAAAGCACUUUUGGCAGGAAAGCGGUACCUGCAGAAUAAGCACCGGCUAACUACGUGCCAGCAGCCGCGGUAAUAC